rnacentral:rRNA from 1 species
GACGAACGCUGGCGGCGUGCUUAACACAUGCAAGUCGAACGGAAAGGCCCUGCUUUUGUGGGGUGCUCGAUUGGCGAACGGGUGAGUAACACGUGAGUAACCUGCCCUUGACUUUGGGAUAACUUCAGGAAACUGGGGCUAAUACCGGAUAGGAGCUCCUGCUGCAUGGUGGGGGUUGGAAAGUUUCGGCGGUUGGGGAUGGACUCGCGGCUUAUCAGCUUGUUGGUGGGGUAGGGGCUUACCAAGGCUUUGACGGGUAGCCGGCCUGAGAGGGUGACCGGCCACCAUGGGCCUGAGAUACGGCCCAGACUCGUACGGGAGGCAGCAGUGGGGAAUAUUGCACAAUGGGCGGAAGCCUGAUGCAGCAACGCCGCGUGCGGGAUGACGGCCUUCGGGUUGUAAACCGCUUUAGCCUGUGACGCAGCGUGAGUGACGGUAAUGGGUAAAGAAGCACCGGCUAACUACGUG